UGGGGAAUUUUGGACAAUGGGGGAAACCCUGAUCCAGCCAUCCCGCGUGUUCGAUGAAGGCCUUCGGGUUGUAAAGCACUUUUGUCAGGAAAGAAACGUCAUGGGUUAAUACCCCGUGAAACUGACGGUACCUGCAGAAUAAGCACCGGCUAACUACGUGCCAGCAGCCGCGGUAAUACGUAGGGUGCAAGCGUUAAUCGGAAUUACUGGGCGUAAUGCGUGCGCAGGUGUUUCGGAAAGAAAGAUGUGAAAUCCCAUAGCUCAACUGUGGAACUGCAUUAUUAGCUACCGGGCUAGAGUGUGUCGGAGGGAGGAGGAAUUGGGCGAGUAGCAGUGAGAUGCGUAGAUAUGAGGAGAAACACCGGUGGCGAAGGCAGCCUCCUGGGAUAACACUGACGCUCAUGCACGAAAGCGUGGGGAGCAAACAGG
rnacentral:rRNA from 1 species